UACGAAGGGGGCUAGCGUUGCUCGGAAUGACUGGGCGUAAAGGGCGCGUAGGCGGAUGGCACAGUCAGAUGUGAAAUUCCCGGGCUUAACCUGGGGGCUGCAUUUGUGACUGGCAAGCUAGAGUAUGGCAGAGGGGGGUAGAAUUCCACGUGUAGCAGUGAAAUGCGUAGAGAUGUGGAGGAAUACCGAUGGCGAAGGCAGCCCCCUGGGCCAAUACUGACGCUCAUGCCACGAAAGCGUGGGGAGCAAACGAGG
rnacentral:rRNA from 1 species